AGAAGGUACAGCGGUGGACUCUAAGGGGAUACAUCAGGGGCAGUGGGGGGCAAGGUGGAGAAGCGCAUAGAGGGCCAGGAGCCCCUAAUACCACGGGGAUGAAUGUAAGUGGGUCAAGUCCAGCAGAGCAAAGCUUCCUGCCUCCACUGGGUAUGGCUGCGUAGGCUGGGCACGGCACACUCACAUGACAGUCUCUGCCAUCAGCCCUCUGGAGGUGUGCAGUGCAUAACUUGCCCAGCCGUCUGCGGAGGCCAAGCAGCUGUCCAGGCACUUGCCCUGUUCUGGCACUUCGGGAGACAAACUCAAAGAUGUCUGGGCCCGUCUCUGCCUUUCUCCUCCCAGGAGCCCUUUCAACCACUGUCACUCCUCCUUCAUCUUCCGCCACUCCAAGACCCUCCUAAAACAUCUUUCUAGAAUGGUAAGCGGGGAAAGGCUUGCAGAUUUCCACUCGGAAGGUUGUACUCGCUGACCCAGGAGCCUGGAAACUUCCCUGCAGCCGGGGCGACCAAGCGGUACCACCUCUGCUUGCUCCUCGUACAAGCCUAAAGCAGUCAAAGCCGCUGGCCGCUCCGGGCCGAGCCCGAGAGCCGCAGAGCCGCGAGAGGCCACCAGAUGGCGCUGCCGGGGCCCCGCGCUCGCGGCAGGUGCAGCUGGCGCGGAAAGUCCGCGCGUGGGAGUCCCGGGUGCUUCGCCGAAGCUGACGCGAACAAAUGGAAAUACAUGUGGUCUCCUGCUACUAAGAUGGGAGAGCCUGGGAGGCUUUGAGCAGAGGCGUGGUGGGAUCUGACGUCUGCUCUCACAGGACCGCCGGAUGGGAGGUGAGGGUGGAAGAGGCUUUGUGGAAAUGGCCCUCAUGAUUUCCAACUGUGUGGGUCCACCAGUGGCCCUGGGUGUUGGACUAGCUCCUCUGUGGAAGACAAAGUGCUCUUUCUCGGCUCUUGGAGAGUUAGCAGCUUCUGGCUGUUGAGAAACACGGAUGUGAAAUGGGGGAAAGAGUCCUUCCUACAGGUCAAGAACUGUGCCAAGUAAUAUGUAUGCAGUAUUUUACUUCAUCCUCAUGAAAACUUCCUGAAGGUUUAUCAUUGUUCUCCCACUUCAUAGAUGAGGAAAUGAAGGCUCAGAGAAGUGAGUGGUGAAGCUGGGUUUCCAUCCCAGGUGUGAAUAUCUUUCUGGGGCCCUGAUGAUGCAGUGGUUAAAAGGUCAGCAGUUUGAAUCUACCAGCUGCUCCUUGGAAGCCUUAUGGGACAGUUCUCUGCUCUGUCCUAUAGGGUCACUAUGAGUUGGAAUCGUCUCAACGACAAUGGCUUGGAUGCCCAGCAUCUCUGCGGGCUCAGAGAGUGCAUACCAAGUCCUGUCCUUACAAACACUGACGGAUACAAAGAAAGGGGAGAAAGCAGCGAGACCAUGUUAUCGGGAGCCCGGAGAUUGCCAGGUCA